rnacentral:rRNA from 1 species
CGCCUACGGGACGCAGCAGUUGGGAAUAUUGGACAAUGGAGGAAACUCUGAUCCAGUGACGCCGCGUGAAGGAAGAAGGUCUUCGGAUUGUAAACUUAUUUUAUCAGGGAAGAAAAAAAUGACUGUACCUGAAGAAGAAGCACCGGCUAACUACGUGCCAGCAGCCGCGGUAAUACGUAGGGGGCAAGCGUUAUCCGGAUUUACUGGGUGUAAAGGGAGCGUAGACGGCGCGGCAAGUCUGAAGUGAAAGGCAGGGGCUUAACCCCUGAACUGCUUUGGAAACUGCCAUGCUAGAGUGCUGGAGG